rnacentral:lncRNA from 1 species
GCAAGGGGCGUCUCGUGCAAUUCUGAGUGUGCAAAGGGGGAUCCUCGAGCAGUUGUGAGUGUGCAAAGGGGAUCCUCGAGCAGCUGUGAGUGUGCAAGGGGCGUCUCGUGCAAUUCUGAGUGUGCAAAUGGCUCUCGGUGCCAUUGUGGGCGUGCAAAGGGGUCCCUGUGCAAUUCUGGGUGUGCAAGGGCCAUCCUCGUGCAAAGGGAGGUUCCUGGCGCGGCGGUGAGUGUGCAAAGAGUGCUCCCGUGUGAGGGAAACGUCCCUUGGUGGCUGCAAGUGUGCAAGGGCCGUCCUUGUGGAAUGGUGAGUGUGCAAGAACGUCCCCGUGCCCUCGCAAGUGUGCAAGGCCCAUCCUUGUGCAAUAAUGAGUGUGUUAGAGCAUCCCUGUGCACUCACAAGUGUGCAAGAGCGUCCCUGUGCCCUCACGAGUGUGCAAGAACAUCCUUGUGCAAUAAUGAGUGUGCAAGAGCGUCCCUGUGCCCUCACGAGUGUGCAAGAACA